rnacentral:lncRNA from 1 species
CUGGACCAGGUAUCGGAGGAGAUGUUCAUUUUGAUAAUGAUGAAACAAGGACCAAGGAUUUCAGAAGCAGUAAGCACUGGGUCGUUCAGGAGGAUCAACUGCUGAGUGGCUACCCCAGGGACGUCUACAGCUCCUUUGUCUUCCCUGAAAGGGUGAA